ACUAAUAUGUUAUAUAAAGGAUCAUAAACGAAGUUCAUACUAUCCAUGAAUGGAUUUAAAUAGCAAAGCAUGAAUUGAAUGUGGGUUAGUUAUGGAAAUUAACUAAACAAGAAUAAAUAUUGGUUAACUUAAAUUAAGUUGAAAAUUAUAUUAUGGAAUAAUAUAAUUGUGUGGCAGUGGUGUGAUAGUAAAUUAAAUGAAAG
rnacentral:lncRNA from 1 species